CAUAUGCCUUGGACUCAACGAACGUUAUCGUUACACACUGGAUAGGAAAGUAUGGUGAUCUGCACUGGUUUUAAACCUCUUUAAGCUUCAAGUUGGCUUUUGAAAGCAUCGUUGUUUUACCCUACUUCAUCAACACCAUGAAAAGUGAACUGGAACUUGUGGUCUGCGUGAUUUGUUGAACUAGAAGACCAUGGAAAAAUGGCGGAGAUAUUCCCAAGUCACUUCUGAUUGUGCUGAGAGCUCAACAGUGCCAAACUUUGACAAAUUGACAUUCGCCAGUUGGCCUCAUUCAAUUCCAUUGCUGUCUGCCUAAUAAUGUCAGUGACCAAGAUUGCAGAUGGUCUCCUUGAUAUCCAGGAAGUCCAGGAGGUAGCUUCCGGUUUUGACCAUCGAGAGGAACUGGACAACUGUGUUGAAACUCCACUGGCGUUGGGACAGGAUUCCUCUGUCUGAUGCAGCUGAAAGUGUUCUCCAGGCAAUCCUCGGACAAGCUACUGUUGAGAAUGCACUUCUGUACCUGGCUUACUUCCAGGAUUAAUGUUGCAGCAGUCACCACUACGUUUUGAACUGGUAUCCAGCUGCCCUUGUGACCAAUUUUCAGGCCACGAAAAAGAUGGAAGGUGUCCCAAUGCAAGUUUAUGGCUUUCUC